GCGGGAACCCACUCGGUCGCUUGCUGGAGACAAAACUGAGCGGUGGCGUCGAAGAAGGCGAGCCACGCGGCAGGAAGGCUCUAAGGCGGCCAUGCAACUCGAGUGCGGCUGAUGCGGGGGAUCUGGACAAAGAUCUCGCGGGUCCACCGGGGAAAAGAUCGGACGGGUGAGGAAGAUUUGACAGGAUCCGACGGAUGGCUUAACUCGCCAGGGUCGGGAAAAAGGAACGAAG
rnacentral:lncRNA from 1 species